GACGAACGCUGGCGGCGUGCUUAACACAUGCAAGUCGAACGGUAAGGCCCUUCGGGUACACGAGUGGCGAACGGGUGAGUAACACGUGGGUGAUCUGCCCUGCACUUCGGGAUAAGCCUGGGAAACUGGGUCUAAUACCGGAUAGGACUCCUGGCUUCAUGGUUGGGGUGUAAGGCUUUUGCGGUGUGGGAUGGGCCCGCGGCCUAUCAGCUUGUUGGUGGGGUAAUGGCCUACCAAGGCGACGACGGGUAGCCGGCCUGAGAGGGUGACCGGCCACACUGGGACUGAGAUACGGCCCAGACUCCUACGGGAGGCAGCAGUGGGGAAUAUUGCACAAUGGGCGCAAGCCUGAUGCAGCGACGCCGCGUGAGGGAUGACGGCCUUC
rnacentral:rRNA from 1 species